GUCAUUAUGGAUGACCAAGAUUCCGAAUUAAUAAUUAGUAUUUGAAAUUGAUCUAUACUAUGAAAAAUAUUUAGAAAUUGAAUUUUAUAAUUUUUAAAAAUUAUGAUCAAAUCCAUCGAAGAAUCGAAAAAUGAACCGUAAAAAACGAAUAAUGAAAAUAGAUGUUAGAGUUUUUCAAUUCAUGAUUGAAAUUAUCAAACACUAUCUAAAUAACAUAAAAAUUUUCUAUCAAAAAUUUAAGCGGUUGGAUUACUCGACACGGGUAAACAAGCACACGACUCAUAUAGGCAAUAAAAAAACUAUCAAUUUUGUGAUUCUUUAAUCACUACGUAAAUAAUUUUUAAAAAUUAUAAAAUUUAGUUUCUAGACAUUUCAAAUACUUUAGAUCAACUUUAACAAUUGUGAUAAUCGAUGCGGAAUAUCUAUUAUAAAAAAUGACUUGAUAGGAUAAAGGCCUCCGUCUUUUUAA
rnacentral:lncRNA from 1 species